GUACGUCCGCGGCAGGGGCGACACCAGUCACGACGGCGCUUUCCCAGGGCGAGGCUGGUCCUCUGCUCGGGGACCCGCUGACCCCUGCCGUCGCCCCGCGUGGGGCAAACGCGACUGCGUCAUUCGUGUUGCUGGGGGCUGCGUCCGCACUUCCCCUGA
rnacentral:snRNA from 1 species